GGCGAUGCCGGGGGCGUGUGUAUGUGUGUGCGCGCGCGCGCCCUCGCGAGCCUGCCCUAAGCGUGGCCCGGAGUGCACGUGCUGUGCGUGCCGUGGGCCCGCGGUUAGGCGCCCUGCGUGGGCGCGUGCGCUGGUGCAGUGCCAGCGUUGUGUGGGCGUUGAGACGUGGUCGAGAGGCCCUGGUGUCAGACCUGCCUCCCACGAAUUCCAGUUAAGGCUAGCUCUGUGGCCUGGGACAAAUUGCUAAACCUCUCUGAGCCUGUUUCUGCUUCGGGAAGCAUCGCAGCGGGGAAGUCAUGCACAGCCCUCAGCCGCUGCCUGCGCCUGGCUCUGUGCUCCUGAGUCCUGGAAUGGGAGGGGCCUGGAAAGCGAGCUCAAGCCCAUUUUACAGCUGGAGAGGGGCCCGUGCAGGCCAAGUGACUCAAGGGGGUUGGGGGAUUCCACCUGCUCCCAGCACGUCUCCAACCUUGAAGGUCCAGGUGCUGGGGUUGGGGCCCAGGGGACAGGGGACCACGUUAAACACAGCCCUUGAGGAUGCAAUCCACAAACUCCAGACUGUGGGAAUCUCGACGGGACAAACCACCCAGUCUCUUCAACAAAUGCGUUUCGGGGGAAAAAGUAAUGGGAAAACCACAGAUUAAAAGAAAGUUCCAGCUUCUCAACCUUUCCCUGGGGGGCGCACCUGCCCUUCCCCGGGGGUCACAAGCAGCCCCGAGAACAACCGUAUGCUGUUCGGACCGUUCCACCGCCAGGAUGCUCCCCGCAGAGGAAGCUUACA